rnacentral:rRNA from 1 species
CUCCAUGAAGCUGGAUUCGCUAGUAAUCGCGCAUCAGCCACGGCGCGGUGAAUACGUUCCCGGGCCUUGUACACACCGCCCGUCAAGCCAUGGAAGCCGGGGUGCCUGAAGUGCGCUGCCGCAAGGAGCGCCCUAGGGUAAAACCGGUGACUGGGGCUAAGUCGUAACAAGGUACC